GAUGAACGCUGGCGGCGUGCCUAACACAUGCAAGUCGAACGGAAAGGCCCUGCGUUUGUGCGGUUCUCGAUUGCCGAAGGCGGGAGUAACACGUGUGUAACCUGCCCUUCACUUUCGGAGAACAUCACGAAACUAGGGCUAAUACCGUAUAGGAUCUCCUGCUCCGUGGUGUGGGUUGGAAAGUGUCGGCUGUUGGGGCUGGACUCGCGGAUUACGAGCUUGCUGGUGGGGUAGUGGCUGACCAAGGCUUUGACGGGUAGCCGGCCUGAGAGCGUGAACGGGGACAAUGGGACUGAGAGACGGAGCAGACGGCUACGGUAGGCAACGGUGGGAAAUAUUACACAACGGGCGGAAGCGUGAUGCAGAGACCCCGGGUGCGUGAUGCCGGGCUUCGGGUUGUAAACAGCUUUCGCUUGUGACGAAGCGUGAGUGACGGUAAUGAGUAAAGAAGCACCGGCUAACUACGUG
rnacentral:rRNA from 1 species